AUUGAACGCUGGCGGCAGGCCUAACACAUGCAAGUCGAGCGGAUGAGGAGAGCUUGCUCUCUGAUUCAGCGGCGGACGGGUGAGUAAUGCCUAGGAAUCUGCCUGGUAGUGGGGGACAACGUUUCGAAAGGAACGCUAAUACCGCAUACGUCCUACGGGAGAAAGCAGGGGACCUUCGGGCCUUGCGCUAUCAGAUGAGCCUAGGUCGGAUUAGCUAGUUGGUGGGGUAAAGGCUCACCAAGGCGACGAUCCGUAACUGGUCUGAGAGGAUGAUCAGUCACACUGGAACUGAGACACGGUCCAGACUCCUACGGGAGGCAGCAGUGGGGAAUAUUGGACAAUGGGCGAAAGCCUGAUCCAGCCAUGCCGCGUGUGUGAAGAAGGUCUUCGGAUUGUAAAGCACUUUAAGUUGGGAGGAAGGGCAGUAAGUUAAUACCUUGCUGUUUUGACGUUACCAACAGAAUAAGCACCGGCUAACUUCGUGCCAGCCGCCGCAGUAAAAC
rnacentral:rRNA from 1 species